UGGGGAAUAUUGCACAAUGGGGGAAACCCUGAUGCAGCGACGCCGCGUGAGCGAAGAAGGCUUUCGAGUCGUAAAGCUCUGUCCUAUGAGAAGAUAAUGACGGUAUCAUAGGAGGAAGCCCUGGCUAAAUACGUGCCAGCAGCCGCGGUAAUACGUAUGGGGCGAGCGUUGCCCGGAAUUAUUGGGCGUAAAGGGUACGUAGGUGGUUUUUUAAGUCAGGUGUCAAAGCGUGGGGCUUAACUCCAUUAAGCACUUGAAACUGAAAGACUUGAGUGAAGGAGAGGAAAGUGGAAUUCCUAGUGUAGCGGUGAAAUGCGUAGAUAUUAGGAGGAAUACCGGUGGCGAAGGCGACUUUCUGGGCUUUUACUGACGCUCAGGUACGAAAGCGUGGGGAGCAAACAGG
rnacentral:rRNA from 1 species